rnacentral:rRNA from 1 species
AAUGAACGCUGGCGGCAGGCCUAACACCUGCAAGUCGAACGAGUGGCGGACGGGUGAGUAAUGUCUGGGAAACUGCCCGAUGGAGGGGGAUAACUACUGGAAAAGGUAGCUAAUAACGCCUACCAUCGGCUGUGCCCAGAUGGGCUUAGCUAGUAGGUGGGGUAACGGCUCACCUAGGAGACGAUCCCUAGCUGGUCUGAGAGGAUGACCAGCCACACUGGAACUGAGACACGGGCCAGACUCCGACGGGAGGCAGCAGUGGGGAAGAUUGCACAAUGGGCGCAAGCCUGAUGCAGCCAUGCCGCGUGUAUGAAGAAGGCCUUCGGGUUGUAAAGUACUUUCAGCGAGGAGGCGUUACUCGCAGAAGAAGCAUCGGCUAACUCCGUGCCAGCCGCCGCGGUAAUAC